rnacentral:rRNA from 1 species
UACAGAGGGGGCAAGCGUUGUUCGGAAUUACUGGGCGUAAAGGGCGCGUAGGCGGCCUUCUAAGUCGAACGUGAAAUCCCCGGGCUCAACCCGGGAACUGCGUCCGAUACUGGAAGGCUUGAAUCCGGGAGAGGGAUGCGGAAUUCCACGUGUAGCGGUGAAAUGCGUAGAGAUGUGGAGGAACACCGAUGGCGAAGGCAGCCUUCUGGGCCAACACUGACGCUCAUGCACGAAAGCGUGGGGAGCAAACAGG